ensembl:lncRNA LOC103694278 uncharacterized LOC103694278
UCUGUAACUGCCAUUCAGUAACUGUCACCUCAAAGAUGCCAAUCAGCUGCCUCCUGGGACAACUUAGCAAAGCUAUCCAAAAUCCGUGGAACCUUCUUCCCUUUUCUUUUCCCCAAAGUUAUCACGCUGUUGAACAGUUUCCUGUUCCAGGCAUUGUCCACGCAAUGAGAAGAACACCAAAGUACAGAGAGGUAAAGCCACUUUGUUAAGUAAACACAGCUGAUUCAGGAAUCACAUCAGAUCUGCCAAAUAAAGACAGUGUUCUUAAUGGCCCCUAGUAGUUUACUUCUCUCUCCUUCAACCCCAGUUCAAGUUCCAGCUCACCUCUUCUUUCCCAUAGUUAGAAGUGAUCUCUGCUUCCUCUCUGUGAC